rnacentral:rRNA from 1 species
UACGUAGGGUGCAAGCGUUAAUCGGAAUUACUGGGCGUAAAGCGUGCGCAGGCGGUUAUGUAAGACAGAUGUGAAAUGCCCGGGCUUAACCUGGGAACUGCAUUUGUGACUGCAUGGCUAGAGUUUGGCAGAGGGGGGUAGAAUUCCACGUGUAGCAGUGAAAUGCGUAGAUAUGUGGAGGAACACCGAUGGCGAAGGCAGCCCCCUGGGUCAAGACUGACGCUCAUGCACGAAAGCGUGAGGAGCAAACAGG